AAAGAGUUGUCCUAUUAUUGUAGACAUGUCUAUGGACAUGUCUAACAGCAAUCCAAUGUGAUCUUUUUUCAGCGAACAUAUCCAAUGAAAGUCCAAAGGAUUAUCAUUGGACAUUCGUUUGGGAUAUGUCCAAUUACAGUCUUAUAUCUAGUCUAAUGAUUUUUCUUGGGACGUGUCCUUCACUUGUCCUAUAUGAGUCCAAUUUCCGUUUCCAUUGAACGUUUCCAAUGCCAGUCCAAUGGAUUAUCAUUGGACAUUCGAUUGUGAUAUGUCUAACAGUAGUCUAAUGUUUAAUCCUACGAUUUAUGUUAGGACACCAUAAUCAGACGUCCAAUGCUACUCCAAGGUAAUUUCAUAGGACAUUCUAAUUGAACGUUUCCAAUGCCAGUCCAAUGGAUUAUCAUUGGACAUUCGAUUGUGAUAUGUCUAACAGUAGUUUAAUGUUUAAUCCUACGAUUUAUGUUAGGACACCAUAAUCAAACGUCCAAUGCUAGUCGAAGGAAAAUUUAUAGGACAUUCUAAUUGGACAUAUCCAAUGCCAGUCCAUUGGUUUAUUAUUGGACAUUUGUUUGAGAUAUGUCCAACGAUGGUCGAACGUUUAAUCUUACGAUUUAUCUUAGCACAUCUAAUUCAAACGUCCUAUGCUAGUCCAAAGGAAUUUCAGAGGAAAGUUUACGUUAGACGUAUCCAAUGCCAGUCCAUUAGUUCAUCAUUGAACAUUCGAUUGGGAUAUAUCCCACGAUUGUAUAAUAUCUUGUACUACGAUAUCUCUUAAGACGUCUAAUUCAGACGUCCAAAGCUAAUCCAAAGGAAUAUCAUAGGACGUUAAAAUUUCAUAUAUCUAAUGCCAGUCCAACUAUUUUCAUUGGACUUUCGACAUAUGCUUCCAUCGAUAUGUCUUACGUUUGUUCAAAUGUCUUUGUUCUGUGAAGAGUGCGUGUGUAGCAGCGUUGGAAAAUGGAAAAAUGGGAAAAAUAUCCGGAAAAAUAGCAAAGUAAGUACAUUAUACACUAAUUAGGAUAUAGUUAAACGAUGUGUAUAAGAAAUUAAGUUGCAAUUUAUAUAAUUGUACGCGAAAAUAGAAAUUUUCUUUUUUACAGGUUACGUGUUUCGACAAGUCCAGCUACAUGUUCCCGGCGUUCCCGGACAACUAUCUUACGGAUACUCCCACGUUACAAAAGCUCGCCAAAGAGAACUAUCAGCAUUUAUGACGAAGGGAAUGGAGAAAAGAAAAGACCGUGCCUUGGAAAACAGAAGUAGGAGAGCAUCCCGUGUCUUGGAAAACAGAAAUUGCAGAGCAUCCCGUGUCUUGGAAUACAGGAGUUGCAGAACAUCUCAAAGACCCAGGACGUCAGAGUUCAACCGCCGAAGGACAAAGUAUCAUACAUGUAAGAUUUAUAUAUAUAAUUUUUAAAUAAAAAAAUAAAAAAUUAA